rnacentral:rRNA from 1 species
UACGGAGGGGGCUAGCGUUGUUCGGAAUUACUGGGCGUAAAGCGUACGUAGGCGGCUUUGUAAGUUAGAGGUGAAAGCCCGGAGCUCAACUCCGGAACUGCCUUUAAGACUGCAUCGCUAGAACGAUGGAGAGGUAAGUGGAAUUCCGAGUGUAGAGGUGAAAUUCGUAGAUAUUCGGAAGAACACCAGUGGCGAAGGCGACUUACUGGACAUCUGUUGACGCUGAGGUGCGAAAGCGUGGGGAGCAAACAGG